CCCACCGCCGAGCGGUUAUGGCGUGUGACUCAAGAAUUUUCAUUCUUACCUGUGUUAACAGGCGCAUUCUCAUGGGGCAACCCGCGUGGGUUCGAAUCCCACCGCUGACA